ensembl:lncRNA
AUAUGUGUAUAUAUGUGUGUGUAUAUAUAUAUAUAUAUAUAUAUAUAUACACUUGCACCUGCUCUCUCUCCACUCCACGUGACGUAAAUGGUGAGCGAGACUUUAGGUCAGCAGGGAUGGGUACAGAACAGAAGUCUAGUUCAGCUACUGGCGGCCCCUCAAGGACCAUCAGAUGGAGAUGUGGCCCAUAUGCCGUAUCCUUCUCCUCCCCACCACUUCCUCUCACUCUCUCUCCCUCUCUCUGUCAGCGUACCCACUAACACCACGUCCUCCCAUUUGAAGCUCUGGCCAGAAAAUGGGAUCCGGGGCUCGCUGUCUCCCUCCCUUUAUGCUUCUCCCUGUCUCCCUGCUAGCCUCGAAGGCCACAGCACACAGGACCCAGUGAUGGCCGCCCGGCUGCCUUCUCAACAAAAAAGGAAGUCAUUGUCCCCUGCUGCGGCCCAACAAUGGGUGACUUAAUAUGAGCAAAAUGGAGGGGGGGGGGGGGGGGGGCGCGGCUGUGCUUCCAGACUCCGGCCUCAUCCAUCAGCGUCGGUCAACCUCAACGUGGGGUUCUCCCGGUCCUCCUUUGAUGGUCGUCAAUGCCGGUCCUCACUGUAACGGACCCGGUGGUUCAUGGGUCGUUCUUGAGUUGGGGUCCAGAUCAAGUCUCAAGUCUUUGAGUUGGAGUCUUGAUCAAGUCUGAGUCCUGGCUGGAUUCUUCCCGGGUUCUUGUUCUGUUUCUCGGGUUUCCCCCUGAGUGCUUCAGGUUUCUCCUUCAGCCGGUUCGGGGGGAGUCCAAGUCUACCGGUGAGAUUCUCUCUCUCUGUUAAACUUGUAAAGCUGGUCCCAGUCGGCUCGAGCCCUCCGGCUGAGUAAACAGGAUCGGGCCGGUAGGAAACAAAGGUAUCAAUAAUGUUACCACCUCUUUGUUUCCCUAGUUAAAGAUCACAAUAAAUUUUCUCUGAUUAUUAAAUAUGGCCCCUCCUUAUGAUGGGACCUUCAGAAUAUGAGCAUUGCUAUUUUCUUUUCCUAAAGAGGGAGAAGGAGUAAAGGUAAUUUCCACUCUGAGGAGACAUGAUCCAGCUGAAUAGAAUAAAAAAUGUAUAACCAAAAAAUAUCCCCAGGAAACCUUCUCAGUUGUCGUGGACCAGUGAACAUAAUAAAAGGGCUUGAGUCUCACUGUGCCAUCUUCACCCCGGAUGCACAAAGUAAUGUAGAGAAUUAGUUCCCAAACGAGAAUCAGAAAACUCCCUGCAACUCACAAGGAGAAACUUUGAGGAGGAAGAGUAGGAUGGGGGUCGUCGUUUGAGAGCCUCAUCAUCCGCAUCCCCCACAAUCGCUGGCUAAUGACGAGCUUCCUGAAGAGUAACCUCUCUGCAGACACAAUGUUGUGGGAGGAGAAAAGACAUCAGAAGUCACUGCAGAAUCAUGCGUUUCCACCUUUUUCUAUUCUUGCCACAAUACAGCUGCUGCUGAUCAAAGAAAAGAAAAAGACAGCAGUUUUCUCGAGAUCCAAACGACAAAACCGUUGUGUUUCCAUUGAAUACACACGGCGACAUGCUCUCAUUGCAACCAGCGAAUGUUGAUGUAGGAAAACGGUUGACCUAAAUAGGGCUUUAAAAACCUCAUUCUGGCCAAGCAGGCCGGAUCAGCGCCCAGCUAAUCCUAGACGCCACAUCUGGGAGCUGAGAGGGCGCCGUAUCCCUCCCUCUGCCCUCUUGGGGUAAACAGCUGAGAUCUGAACUCAGCAUCGACUCGUGAGAUUAACACUGGGGCUUUCGGGUUUGAAUCCUUUGCUUCUUGCUUUUUACGGACGUCUGAUAAAAAAAGAUCUGCAGAGGGAGAGUCAAUUUUCGAAGGACGAGCUUUCAGAGCGCCAUUCAAACAUACGUUGUUUGAGCAUGUGCUGAUGUGGUCCAUUUGUAGCCCAUUUGUAACACAACACGUGACAAACAAAACCAAAACAGCAGCACAUUUCUGUAGUGCACCUUUUUAAAAAAGGUGCAUCAUAAGCAGCAACAAAACGUUUUCUCUGUCCUGAUAUCCAGCAGCUUGGUCCGGGACCACGAUGGACCCGGGUCUCCGAUUGAGACGUGGGCUCUACAGUCUCCGACCUGCAGCUCCUCUCAGCCAACUUAUUUUUCUUCAACAGAACGUCAGACAGCCAGGGGCAUGCUGGGUAGUGGUACCCUGGGUUAACUUAGCUUCCACCCGGGCUCUCCUGUCUGGGCCAGUUGGUGGUUCCAACUGGCAGGGCCGGCUCACUGGCCGUAGUCUGCUUUACCGAUCCCCACUAGUGGCG